UACGAAGGGGGCUAGCGUUGUUCGGAAUCACUGGGCGUAAAGCGCACGUAGGUGGACUUUCAAGUCAGGGGUGAAAUCCCGGGGCUCAACCUCGGAACUGCCUUUGAUACUGUUGGUCUUGAGUCCGGAAGAGGUGAGUGGAAUUCCUAGUGUAGAGGUGAAAUUCGUAGAUAUUAGGAAGAACACCGGUGGCGAAGGCGGCUCACUGGUCCGGUACUGACGCUGAGGUGCGAAAGCGUGGGGAGCAAACAGG
rnacentral:rRNA from 1 species